rnacentral:misc_RNA from 1 species
GAAAUGCGAUACGUAAUGUGAAUUGCAGAAUACCGCGAAUCAUCGAGUCCUUGAACGCACAUGGCGCUGACGAGCCCGCUCGUCAGCACGCCUGUUUGAGUGUCGUUUCCCAUCUCUCCCCUCAAACGCGCCUGCGCGUCUUGCAGGGAAGGAAGCUGGGUGUUGGAUAUGCAGCAAUGCGAUCCAUCACUUAAAGGCGGGUGCCCGCCUUCCCGAGCGCCGGGCCACACGGUGUGCUGCAACAUGUCGCCGUGCCGUGCGCGAAUUCCGGGACUGCCGGGCAAGAGAACCACAGUGGAGGGAGGGACGACCUCUACUUUGUGUGUCACCAUGCGACCUCAAAUCAGGCGAGACCACCCGCUGAACUUAA